rnacentral:sRNA from 1 species
ACACGACCCGAAGACAGCAGGUGCCGCAAGGCAUAAGUUGAACACGCCUGCCGAGGACGAUAUGCAUUCACUUUGAAUGAUUUUUCGAAACCUCUCUGUCUUCCCGGCAGAGAGGUUUUUUGU